CUCAAUUUCAUUGGUGAUUUCACAUGCUUCUAAUCCACCAUCUUGCGCAAAGUGGUCAUAAAUCCAAUCAGGGAAAUACUUUUCACUGGAUUUUGCAACAAUUGAUCUUACAUUUCUCCUCCUUCCAACCAUCUCCAGCAGCAUCAUUCCAUAACUAUAAACAUCCGACUUUGUUGAAACCAAUCCAAAGGUUUGGGAGUGAACUUCUGGGGCGAUGAAUCCAAUUGUUC
rnacentral:rRNA from 1 species